rnacentral:rRNA from 1 species
UACGUAGGGUGCGAGCGUUGCCCGGAUUUAUUGGGCGUAAAGGGCGCGUAGGCGGUCACGCACGUCCGUUGUGAAAUCGCUCGGCUCAACUGGGCGGGGUCAGCGGAUACGGCGUGGCUGGAGCAAGCUAGGGGGCAAUGGAAUUCCCGGUGUAGUGGUGGAAUGCGUAGAUAUCGGGAGGAACACCUGUGGCGAAAGCGGCUCACUGGACCACAACUGACGCUGAGGCGCGAAAGCUAGGGGAGCAAACAGG